CCUACGCGUGGCAGCAGUGGGGAAUAUUGGGCAAUGGACGCAAGUCUGACCCAGCAACGCCGCGUGAAGGAAGAAGGCUUUCGGGUUGUAAACUUCUUUUAAGGGGGAAGAGCAGAAGACGGUACCCCUUGAAUCAGCCACGGCUAACUACGGGCCAGCAGCCGCGGGAAUACGUAGGGGGCAAGCGUUGUACGGAUUUACUGGGUGUAAAGGGCGUGCAGCCGGAGAGGCAUGUCAGAUGGGAAAUCCGCAGGCUCAACCUGCGAACUGCAUUUGAAACUGUUUCCCUUGAGUAUCGGAGAGGUCAUCGGAAUUCCUAGUGUAGCGGUGAAAUGCGUAGAUAUGAGGAAGAACACCAGUGGCGAAGGCGGAUGACUGGACGACAACUGACGGUGAUGCGCGAAAGCGUGGGGAGCAAACAGGAUUAGAUACCCGGGUAGUC
rnacentral:rRNA from 1 species